AAAGCACCCUUGGCCAUGGUGAGCCCCCCAUUCAUGGUGACUCAAUGAGUGGGAAUGGGUAUUUCUCCAGACAACAUCAGCUUGGGGAUAGAAUGCAUCAAACAAGAACAGAAUGGCAAUUUUCGUGUGGUGUUAAUUUCCGUGGAAGAAGAAAAGGCUCGACUCUCUGUCCUAUUUUUCAUGAAUACUGGAAGUAGGGAAUAAACCUGGAGUCUCACGGGUGAAAAGAGACAUUUCCAUAUCACCAGACCACAAACGUGGGUGUUGAUUCUAAGGAUACCCCCAAUAAACAUCUUUCGUGCUAAAGCCCAUUCCAGAAUUUACUUCCCAGCUAUCUUUGAUGUUCAUAUUGUCAGAGGUGGUGGCCGCUGAAACAGGCAAAGACAUGGAGCAUAUCUUGGGUCCAGGACCUUGGGAGUCCAGAGGAAGGUCUUUUUACCAUCAGCAUUCUCUACUGUGUUCAAUGACUGUCAGCCAAAGAUGGCCAGGUUCUCUACUGUGAUGGUGAAUUUUAUGUGUCAAUUUGACUGGACCAUGGGAUGCCCAGGUACUUGGUGAAACAUUUCUCUGAGGAUGUCUCUGGCUUUCCUUCAGAAAGAAAUGCAUUCAAAGAACCUACAUUCACAACAUAAAGAAAUAAAGCCUGCACCUACAGAUCUACACACAUGCCCAUGCACAUGCAGGAAGUGUUCAUCUAAGACUGGACCUUUUAGAAGAAAGCUGGCAUACAUUCGUGAAGGCAUGGGCUUCCAGGCAUGUCAUCUUCACUCACGAAGCACACACAAGACCGCCAAGCAUUAAGAUUCUCCUGUGGAGCCAGGCUACAAUCCUUUAAAUGAAGACAGACAGCUAGGUGGCUGCAGCCCAGCGCUACACCUCACCCCUCCCUCAGUGUCAUGCAGAAAAAAUGUAUUCAGAACUCAGAAGUGAAGUUGUGCAAAUCCAUCAUUGACACUAGCUUCAAGGUUACCUCGGGGGAGCAGAAUGUACCCCUGCCAGAGAGCUGGAUAGAUGAUGAUGGGGACAGAAAUUCUGGGGGAGUUGUAAAUGGCAGCCACUGCCUCUAUAGGAAACCCAAAGGGAACACAGCAGAAGAGGAGGUGGUGGAGGAGCCACUGCCCUCUCGAAGGGUUCAAUGUCAUUCUGCAGACACAACCAAAUAACUUUUUCUUCCCUGCUGCUCCUCCAUUUGAAAUGACAGCCCCGAGCUCGCUUUUUCCUUGAUUGUGUAACUCUGAUUACAGACAAGGCCAAGGCAAUCCCAGGGCAUUACUACAAAGCUAAGGGGUCCCCAAAGAACUAAAGAGUCAGCUCCACAAAAAUCCCGAUUCCUAGCAUGAAACUGAAAUAUGAAACCAAACGGGCAUAGAAAAGGUAUGUGCAUUCGAAUCACAUAGCAGUGACUGGAGUCCUGAGCUGUGUCUGAAGACUGUGAGAUCACGUUUGGAGCUGCUGAUUGGUUUUCAGUGAUGGCCCUGUUGCACAGUGCCGUGAGACUUAGCUCCAUGGCCAAAGACGAUGGUAUCCCCUAGGAGCCCUGUGAGGUUGCUGCUGUUCUCUUAAGACACCAGGUAGCCAUCUGAUCCUCCCUGAGCAAACUAACUGGGCAGACAGGUUUAUUAAACCUCUGUUGGUCCGACUUACAUGAAACAAGAGAGUUAUUUUGUUGUUGUUGUUUUGUUUUGUUUUAAAUUAAACCUGUCUUUGGAGCCUCCUGCUCUUAGUUUACAAGUCUUCUUUGCACACUCUAAUAUUUUAAGAAGCAGCAAACAUUAACUGAGGGUCUA
rnacentral:lncRNA from 10 species